CCUUCCAGCCUCCGGCACCCUGAGAACUGGGUGUGAGUGCUGAUUUCUCCACCUGUCUUAUUUCUUAAUAUCUGCAACCAGCUCAGAGCCAGGGAUAAGUCAAGACUCCACCAGCCCAUGUAUGGCUGCCCGGCUGCCCCCAGCCUUGCCCUCAGUUCUUCCCCGAGGGCAUGUCCUGUUGAGAGCCGGUUUCACCUGUGCAGUGUGGCCUGAUGGCCCAGCACCCAGGAGCUCUGCGCACCCUGCCGCCAUGGGCCAUCCGUCCCCAGACCUCUUCCCACAGGGUCACUGUGGUCCACCGUCCUGCCCUCGGGGAAUCUCAGCCUCCCUCUCACAGGCCCCGCCCACAGACUCAUUCACUGAUGCCAUCGCUGGACCCAAGUCAGUCAGAUGAAGAGCAGGAUGGUGUCAGAGCCUCGACCUCGGGAAGCACAGGAUGAGAACAAUGCAGCUGCCUCCCCAGGCCGUCAACCCCAGCACGGAAAACUCACGCUGGUCCUCACUCCAGCCUGAACGCUCCUGCUGAGGCCAGCUCUGCUCUGUCCCAUUCUGUCAUCAUUAAAGAGAGAAGGGAUGGCCACAUCUACCUGGAAAAACCACUUCCUCCUCUGAACACAGCUCUCAUCUGGAGCCCCGACGUGUCAUAUUCCUCCACCUUCCUGGAGGGAGGAAGUGCCCCAGUAGGCUGACAGCUGAGCUUUAAUUCUGCUCCACAGCCAAUCCAGGUUUUCUCAAUACUAUCUCUGUGGAAAAGUGCAUAAAACAGCAAGAAUAAUUGGCAUAAAUGAGACAAAUGUAACCCAGAAGCUUAGUCCCAAAAUGCACACUGAAAGUAAAUUCAUAAAAAUAUAAAUGAAAGCAAGUUUUCUUUAUAUUUAAGUAUAACAAAGCUACCUAUUGAUAAAUGGGGCCUUCUCCACACCCAGGUCCAGGACUAUGUUCCUUGCCUUAUUUUUUCCUAUAAGGCUUACCACCUUUAAAUGAAGCAAAAACAAAUGAAUCAAUAAAUCAUAUAAUUAACUUUUAUUGUAUUUACUGCCUUCAAUCGCUAGAAUGUAAGUUCUCCUGAAUACAAGGAAUGUUCACAGUAUUGUUUAUUUGUUAUUUCCCUGGGUCCCAGAACAGUUUCUGGCAUGUAAUACAGUCUCAAAAAUAUUUGCUGAAUGAAUGAAAGUUUAUUCUAUUAAGCAAACUGUUAUCUCUGGAUGAUAAAUGUCAUGUCACUCCUCGACCUCAAAUCUUUCCAUAGAUUCCAUCACUUCCAGGACAUAGUCCGUAUUAGCGAGGCAUACGUGCCCUUCGCCAUGUGGUCCCGAGCAUCUUCCUGAGUCUUUCCUAAAUCCUACACAUCCCCCUGGAGGCCAAAAUGCCUCUCAGGCAUACCAUGGCUUCCCAUCACUGCACCUUCAUGUACACGGUUCCUCCUGCCUAGAAUGACUUGCUCCUCAUUCCCUUGCGUGACAAAUGCCUACUGACCUUUUAGCAAAAAACAAAAACAGAAAAACCCUUCGCCAAGACUGUGAAGCCUUCUCCAGUAUUCCCAUCCCCAUCCAGGAACUGAGUACCACCGCUUCCAUGUUCCCAUGGCAACCCGCGCAUCCCCCAACACAGUGCUAAUCACCUUGCUGUCAUUGCUUGUCUCUUUGCUCACCCACGUCAUUAUCUUUGCAUCCCCAGGGGCCAGCACAGUAGGUGGCUAAUAGUUGCUUCAACUUAAAUGGACUCAAAUGCGCUAAAGGGAGGGGAAAAGAGAAGUCAGUGCACUUUGGGGCUGAGUUUUGUUUCUUUCACUUGUACCUGAUAUCUGUGCUCCUGUCACAGACGUCCACACAGACACACAAGCUAAAGAAGAAGAUGGACAAGAAUCAGCACACACUUUGCUCCUCUGGUUUCACCUUGAACCAGAGGGCCCAUUAGUCGUGUAAAGCCAUUAAAUAUUACAGCUGUAUAAAUCACACAAACCAGCAUUUCUGCCUCUCUCCACUAAGUGUCCAAAUCAGUAGCCAAUAAAACACUGGAAGUUUUUUUUUUUCUUUCUUUUUUUUCUUUGAGAUGGAGUUUCACUCUCGUCGCCCAGGCUGGAGUGCAAUGGUGCAAUCUUGGCUCAUUGCAACCUCUACCUCCCAGGUUCAAGUGAUUCUCCUGUCUCAGCCUCCUGAGUAGCUAGGAUUACAGGCACAUGCCACCACGCCCGGCUGAUUUUUGUAUUUUUAGUAGAGACAGGGUUUCAUCAUAUUGGUCAGGCUAGUCUCAAACUCCUGACCUCAGGAGAUCCACCUGCCUUCGUCUCCCAAAGUGCUGGGAUUACACGCAUGAGCCAUCGCACCAGGCCUAACACUGGAAGAUGUUUUAAGUAUAUAAGUUUCUUGUACAGUGAAAAUUAUACACACGUGAUACAAAGAAAUCAUAAAAUUUCAAUGAACACAGGUUGCCCAUGACAUAAAGGACAUGUGUGAAAGAAACGUGAACAGGGCUUUCUAUAACUCUUCAGGUGCACACAUGGGGAGCAGCCAAGGAUUUCUGCAGAAAAAUUCACUCCAGAGGUCAGCAGCUAGAAGCACAAAUGGAGAGUGAGUGAGCACGAGCGCCUCGUGGACUCAGCCCUCCCAGGCCCAGAACCAAGCGCCCAUGGACACCCCUACACGGGCAGCAAGGGCUGGAACCGGCAGCCUGGUGGACAUCCGCCCUGCAGGGCUCUCCCUCGCAGAGACUGCAGAAGAGGGUGUGCAGUGCUCAGCGCGGAAGGAUGUUCUCCCUGCUUUUAAGGAGCCGUGACUAUUUUGCUCAGCGUCCCUGGCGUGCCUUUCUCUGUACAAAAAGGAGACUUAGAGGCUUCCCCAUCCCAUUACCACAGCUGGGCGGCUUCUUGCAUGAGGGCACCUUGCUGAACUAAGUCACCCCAAGCUACCCUAGGCUCCCUGUGCACUGAGAUGCUGAGUCCUGAGGUGCCUUCCAGCACCAGUGAAUGGGACUAAAGUCUUCUGCAGUGUCGCGACCGUUCUGAAGUGAGUAUUCUGUGGUCAUUUGUUACCCUCUGUGAAGCCCAGGAAGCAGGGAUUCAGGGCUGACCAGGGACCACUUUGUUCUCUGCCCAUGCAUGGAAGGUCUGCACUUGGGCCCCAAAGCCUGAGUAAAGUUUCACCGUGAACUUCUUCCAGCAGGAUAAACAGUAGGGUUCAGUACUGAGGGUCUCCAGUUUAAACCCUGAUUCCACUACAAAAUAAAUGCUAGACUGGGCCACAUAUUUAAGCUGUGUUUUCCUUAUGCUUAAAAUGGCAGUAAGAUUCCUUCCAGAGGCCAUGCAGGGAGAUAAUGCCCACAGAACGCUCAGAGUGGGGCUUGGCAGAGACAGGGCUAGACAGGGGCUGUUAUUUAGUGCUGGCAUCUUUUAUUGGUGGCGAUGUUAUUUUAUUUUCUAUGAUUAUGUAAUUUCCUCCUUAUAAUCUCACCCUUGUUGCUUAUCUUAAGAGUGAUGUUUCAGGAGCAACAGCAUCAAUGUAGUGUUUGAUAUUCUGGACAAUCUAACACAAGCAAUUUCUAAUUCAUAAUCCACUAUUUGUAUUUGUUGAUUAUUUGUUUAUAAUAAAGAAAGCAAUGCUUUGUCAGUUUUCCACAAUCUGCCACCAACCUCAGAUAUGCUUUCAUGAAGCUCAUCUUCAAUUAAGGCCCGUGUGCUUUAUUUUUGUGAAAAAUGGAGAUGUGAAGACAUUCUGUGCUCUGCUAGGCUGUGUCCUGAGAACCCCCCUUUUAAAAAGGUUCUCAGUAUUGUAGGUGUCACUUUUUUCCAUUAUAAAUCACAAAAUGUAGUAGCCAGUUAACAAGACACAGGUGUUGCUCCCCUGAAAGUGCCUGCAGAAUGGUGCCGAGGUCCUCUCCUCACCCAUAGCUCUUGGCAUGAUUUAUUCCUGCUGCACGCCUUCCGGGAGGUCCACCAGGCUCACGUCUGUGUCUGUGGAGGUGUGUGUGAACAUGUGCACGUGAGGGUACAUCCAGUCUUCUACCAGCUAAUACGUCAGAGACCACAUAAUGUUAGGCUGGAAGAGACCCUAAAGGUUAUAUAAACCAAUUCCCUUAUUUUAGAGCUGAGAAAUUUCAGGUGCAAAGAAGGGAGAGGCUAUAACAUGGUGGCACUAGAAUAAGACUGCCGGGUUUGAAUCCUGGUGCAACUACUUAUUACCUGUGUGAUCUUGGGAAAGUGACUUAACCUUUCUGGGUCACAGUUUGGAUACCUAUAAACGGCAGAUAUUAACAGUCUCUAUUUGUGUGGAUAUUUUAACAAUAAAAUUAAAUCAUUCACGUAAAGAACUUAAAAGACUCUCAGAUAGGUUGUGGUGAGCUAUGAUUGUACCACUGCACCCCAGCCUCCUGUAGCCUGGGCAAAGGAGCAAGAUUGUCUCUAAAAAAUAAAAAAAAUAAAAAUCUCCAAGAUAGGUAUCAGGUCUGCAAAAGUUUGGACCUAAUCAUGAUCCAAAACUAUGGCUUGAUGACUUCCAAAUUUAUUGCUUCCUUUUUUGGAUGAUCAUUUAUAUGGCACAAUAUGUUGUAAAAUGACACAAAAAUUAACAUUAACGAGCAUACCUCUGGGUUGUAGAUGUCUACGUACAGAUGUCCUUGUCCCAAAACCUAUGUGGAUCCCCAACUGCAUAGAUGCCAUUAUAGCAAAUAAUGUUCCCAAUAAAAUGCAGCAAAGUAUAACUAAAAAUUUAAGGAACUCCUUCAGACCCUUAAUGAUUCUAUAAAUAUAGCCCUAAGGUCAUUUGUAAAGCCAAGCAAAUACAUUCCAAUUGAAGCACUCACCGCAAGUUUUCAUCAUUGGUGAUAAAAGUACAUGAAGUAUUCUGUGUCCUAGAAUCAAGCCACCACUAAAUUCAAUCAUCUAUGUAUUCAUUUAUAUAAAAUCUCUAUUUCCUGGUUUUCAGUCCCUAAUGCACAAAGAUUUUAAAGGAGGUGAGGCUGGGCUGAAAGCUUCCCAAGGGUGGGAACCAGGUGUGGCGGCUUAGCUUCUAUUCUCUGGAGCAAUGCUUGGAUCUCCAUAGGCACUUGCAAAUAUUUUGGAAUGAAUGUAGACUGAAUAAAUAAAUGCUUCAGAAACCAAACUUGCAAGCAGUGCCAGCAAAUCAUAGCUCAAAAUAUUUGUUCAUCAGCUGUUGUUCAAAACUUUGAACUUAGCACACCAAAAAUGGUUUAUGUGUCACAACAUGCAAUGUGCCAAAGUGCAGGUUGGUCGAAAGUUGAACACAUAAAACCCAAGGGCUGUCUACAGCAACAGGGCCUGCAAUGGAAUAAAGACCCAGAAGCCAACAGCAGCGAGGCCGGAGACACAGAAAACACAACCAGAGUCUUCAGGGCAGCAACAGGAGAUGCAGCUUUAAGGGUCCAUCAGGCAGGAAGAACGACCCGGAAGAGGCUUGCCUCAGGCCAGACCCCAUGGUAUGAACUUGCAAGUCUCAGGGGCGAGGCAGAUCAAAGGACUUUGGGUCCCUGGAACCAUGAGAGGCUCCCUAUAAGGAUGGCGCCCAGCCAGGCCCUGAAGGCAGGUGACCAGAAGGGGUGGCAGUGUAGAGCCCUGCCCAGGUGGAGGGGGUACAGAGGAGUUCACUUCUGGCACAACCAGGGUUGAGUUGGGAGUUGGAAGAGAGCCUAAUUGAGGAGGAAGCUACAGAGGGAGAAAGGAGCCAGCCUGGGAGGGCCUCAGAGGGCGGGUGGGGAGCGGGAGCUCCAGGGCUCAGUGCGGGUGCAGUGCUGCUGAGCACCUUAAACAGCCCAGCCUCCAGCACUGUCAGCACCUUAAACGAGAUGUGAGCCAUGUUGCUGGGGAAGCCUCCCACCUCCGGGUCCUCACUUCCUCCGUGGAUAAGUGGUGUCUACCAAUAGAAACCUGUGCCCAGUGGUUACCAGGGUUUUCAUAUGGCAAAAUGUAUAUAGCAAAGAAGGUAGAUAAAAAGAAACACACACACACAAACCACACACACACACAACACACACACACAUUUACCUACAAUAAACUGAUUGAGCAAAAAGGAAUACUGACAUCUCCAGGCCACUGUAAGGGAGCAUGAUUAUGUAGUUUGAAAAACAGCAAACUGGCUGGGCGUGGUGGCUCACGCCUGUAAUCCCAGCACUUUGGGAGGCCGAGAUGGGCGGAUCACUAGGUCAGGAGAUCGAGACCAUCCUGGCUAACACGGUGAAACCCCGUCUCUACUAAAA
rnacentral:lncRNA from 1 species